rnacentral:rRNA from 1 species
AACGAACGCUGUCGGCAUGCCUAACACAUGCAAGUCUAACGAGACCUUCGAGUCUAUUGGCUCACCUGUGCGUAACGCCUGGGAACCUGCCUGUAAGUUCUGAAUAACUCAGAGAAAUUUAAGCUAAUACCGAGUGAUCGCUUCGGGCCAAAGAGUUAUCGCCCUGAGAUGGGCCCGGGUUGGAUUAGCUGGUUGGUGGGGUAAAGGCCUACCAAGGCGAAGAUCCAUAGCUGGUCUGAGAGGAUGAUCAGCCACACUGGGACUGAGACACGGCCCAGAAUCCUACGGGAGGCAGUCGUGGGGAAUAUUGGCCAAUGGGAGACAGCUUGAUCCAGCAAUGCCGCGUGCGUGCUGACGGCCUUAGGGUUGUAAAGCUCUUUUACACGAGCUGAUAAUGACCGUACCGGGAGAAUAAGCUCCGGCUACCUCCGUG